UACGGAGGAUCCGAGCGUUAUCCGGAAUUACUGGGCGUAAAGAGUUGCGUAGGUGGUUAGUUAAGCAGGUCGUAAAAUAUCACGGCUCAACCGUGGGAAUACAAUCUGAACUGGCUGACUUGGGCAUGGAAGAGGUAGCUGGAAUUCCCGGUGUAGGAGUGAAAUCCGUAGAUAUCGGGAGGAACACCGAUGGCGUAGGCAGGCUACUGGUCCAUCGCCGACACUAAGGCACGAAAGCGUGGGGAGCGAACGGG
rnacentral:rRNA from 1 species